AGUAGCAUUACGCACAGUCACAUAGAGAACCUGAGGCUGAUAGUCACGGCCUAUUUCCUAAACUGAAAUGAUUAUAAUAUGAUGAACUGUUAAGUAAUAAACUUUUAUUUUUACUAUGUAAAAGUCUGUAAAGGAGUUAACCUGGCACAUGUAUGACUUUACACAUCUGUGUAUUUGUGUUGAAUGUUCCAACAUGAGACACAACUGGAAUCCAACCAAACUGAACACUGAGUCAUUCCUACAACACUGACUCCAGGGAGGACGAGCCUGAAGGACACAGCUGUGCUGACCGUGUUCUGUCUCUUAUGGCAAAGAAGAAAAAUAAAACACUGGGCUCUUAUCUAAAGUGUAUCAGCCAUCUUUAGUUAAGGGAGGAAAACAUGAAGUGUUGUGCAGAUGAAGCUGGUGCAGUUCGUCCUCAUGUUCACCAGCCUGAAGCUGCCGAUCUCCACCAUGUUGCUGCUGCCACAGUGGAUGCUGAGGACAUCAGGUGCUGCAGUGCUUCAUCUAAUGAAAAGAAGAAACUCACUAUAAAAUAAUAUUUUGUGAUGUGUAGGUUCCAGCAAAGACUGGUUCUUACAGUUUAUUCUGUGUUCAGCAGGUGGAAGCAACACAGAUUUCAGACAGAACCGAUGUUCUGGGUUUGUACCCUCAUGGUUAAAUGCACGUAUUGUAAGUUGCUUUGGAUAAAAGUACUGAAAGAAA